rnacentral:misc_RNA from 1 species
GUAGGUGAACCUGCGGAAGGAUCAAUUUUGUAUGUUGAGAGGAGUUGUGAUUCGUACAUUAUAGAGAGGGAGGGGACGCAAGUCUUUCUCGAAUCUCAAAGGUGGUGUUUGGCUAUACAUGUUAAUAUGACGACGAGAGUGUAUCCCAGUGCUUUAGCACUAAACAAUAACAACAUACAUAACUGUUGGCAAUGGAUCACUUGGUUCUCGCAUCGAUGAAGAACGCAGCAUCUGACUGACUCGGGCAUAA